rnacentral:rRNA from 1 species
GAUGAACGCUGGCGGCGUGCCUAACACAUGCAAGUCGAGCGGCAGCACGGUCUUCGGACUGGUGGCGAGCGGCGGACGGCUGAGUAACACGUAGGAAUGUACCCCAGAGUGAGGAAUAACUGCCCGAAAGGGUAGCUAAUGCCGCAUACGCUCUUCGGAGUAAAGGCUUCGGCCGCUUUGGGAACAGCCUGCGUACGAUUAGAUAGUUGGUGAGGUAACGGCUCACCAAGUCGACGAUCGUUAGCUGGUCUGAGAGGAUGACCAGCCAGACUGGAACUGAGACACGGUCCAGACUCCUACGGGAGGCAGCAGUGAGGAAUCUUCCACAAUGGGCGAAAGCCUGAUGGAGCAACGCCGCGUGCAGGAUGAAGGCCUUCGGGUUGUAAACUGCUUUUAUGAGUGAAGAAUAUGACGGUAACUCAUGAAUAAGGGUCGGCUAACUACGUGCCAGCAGCCGCGGUAACAC